UGCCACGGUGUACAUGGAGAAGUCACAGGGC
rnacentral:piRNA from 1 species